rnacentral:rRNA from 1 species
UACGUAGGGUGCGAGCGUUGUCCGGAAUUAUUGGGCGUAAAGGGCUCGUAGGCGGUUUGUCGCGUCGGGAGUGAAAACCAGGUGCUUAACACCUGGCUUGCUUUCGAUACGGGCAGACUAGAGGCAUGCAGGGGAGAACGGAAUUCCUGGUGUAGCGGUGAAAUGCGCAGAUAUCAAGAGGAACACCAGUGGCGAAGGCGAGUCCCUGGACAAACCCUGACACUGAGGCACGAAAGCCAAGGGAGCAAACAGG